rnacentral:lncRNA from 1 species
GGAGGAUGCUGUGCUAAUGACUUCCGAGAGGUGUUUAAGAAGAACAUAGAAAAGCGCGUGCGUAGUUUGCCAGAAAUAGAUGGCCUGAGCAAAGAGACGGUGCUGAGCUCAUGGAUAGCCAAAUACGACGCCAUUUACAGGGGAGAAGAAGAUUUGUGCAAACAGCCGAACAGGAUGACCCUGAGUGCUGUGUCUGAGCUUAUUCUGAGUAAGGAGCAGCUCUAUGAAAUGUUCCAGCAAAUUCUGGGUAUUAAGAAACUGGAACACCAGCUACUCUAUAACGCAUGCCAGCUGGACAACGCUGAUGAGCAAGCCGCCCAGAUCAGAAGGGAGCUUGACGG